rnacentral:rRNA from 1 species
GAUGAACGCUGGCGGCGUGCCUAAUACAUGCGAGUCGAGCGAACAGAUGAGGAGCUUGCUCCUCUGACGUUAGCGGCGGACGGGUGAGUAACACGUGGAUAACCUACCUAUAAGACUGGGAUAACUUCGGGAAACCGGAGCUAAUACCGGAUAAUAUAUUGAACCGCAUGGUUCAAUAGUGAAAGACGGUUUUGCUGUCACUUAUAGAUGGAUCCGCGCCGCAUUAGCUAGUUGGUAAGGUAACGGCUUACCAAGGCAACGAUGCGUAGCCGACCUGAGAGGGUGAUCGGCCACACUGGAACUGAGACACGGUCCAGACUCCUACGGGAGGCAGCAGUAGGGAAUCUUCCGCAACGGGCGAAAGCCUGACGGAGCAACGCCGCGUGAGUGAUGAAGGUCUUCGGAUCGUAAAACUCUGUUAUUAGGGAAGAACAAAUGUGUAAGUAACUAUGCACGUCUUGACGGUACCUAAUCAGAAAGCCACGGCUAACUACGUG